UGCAUGGCGGUAGGAUGAGAACCGUAAGGUUCGACGCAGGCGCGUAGCGCCGGAGAACGUCGCGCGAAGCGCGGCGGCCCGGAGGGCGAGGGCGCAGCCCGAGUAAUCCUACCGCCCCAGCCA
rnacentral:sRNA from 2 species